UUCCAAUAAAUCGUUGAAUCUGCAGAGGAGAACUGAGACUGACUGAUAUUUCUAGUGGUAUUCGGCUAAAUUGUGUACUUUUGAAGGUAUAUCCCCAGACCCAAAAGCUGACAAUAGAUAUAUCUGGUGACAAUAAACCGAACACUAACAUGUAAGUAUUCAUCA
rnacentral:lncRNA from 11 species